AUUGAACGCUGGCGGCAUGCCUUACACAUGCAAGUCGAACGGCAGCACGGGUGCUUGCACCUGGUGGCGAGUGGCGAACGGGUGAGUAAUACAUCGGAACAUGUCCUGUAGUGGGGGAUAGCCCGGCGAAAGCCGGAUUAAUACCGCAUACGAUCUACGGAUGAAAGCGGGGGACCUUCGGGCCUCGCGCUAUCGGGUUGGCCGAUGGCUGAUUAGCUAGUUGGUGGGGUAAAGGCCUACCAAGGCGACGAUCAGUAGCUGGUCUGAGAGGACGACCAGCAACACUGGAACUGAGAAACGGCCCAGAGUCCUACGGGAGGCAGCAGUGGGGAAUUUUGGACAAUGGGCGAAAGCCUGAUCCAGCAAUGCCGCGUGUGUGAAGAAGGCCUUCGGGUUGUAAAGCACUUUUGUCCGGAAAGAAAUCCUUGGCCCUAAUACGGUCGGGGGAUGACGGUACCGGAAGAAUAAGCACCGGCUAACUACGUG
rnacentral:rRNA from 1 species